AACGUAGGAGGCGAGCGUUAUCCGGAUUUACUGGGCGUAAAGCGUGUGCAGGCGGUUUGAUAAGUUGGAUGUGAAAGCUCCUGGCUUAACCGGGAGAGGUCGUUCAAAACUAUCAGACUAGAGAGUGGUAGAGGGAGAUGGAAUUCCGCGUGUAGUGGUGAAAUGCGUAGAUAUGCGGAGGAACACCAGUGGCGAAAGCGGUCUCCUGGCCCAUUUCUGACGCUCAGACACGAAAGCUAAGGUAGCAAACGGG
rnacentral:rRNA from 1 species